UUAGGAAGUGUGACAGGAGUUGG
rnacentral:piRNA from 1 species